rnacentral:rRNA from 1 species
CCUACGGGAGGCAGCAGUGGGGAAUAUUGCACAAUGGGGGAAACCCUGAUGCAGCGACGCCGCGUGAGUGAGGAAGUAUUUCGGAAUGUAAAACCCUAUCAGCAGGGAAGAAAAUGACGGUACGUGACUAAGAACCCCCGGCUAACUACGUGCCAGCAGCCGAGGUAAUACGUAGGGGGCAAGCGUUAUCCGGAUUUAAGGGGUGUAAAGGGAGCGUAGACGGCUUAUCAAGUCAGAAGUGAAACCCAAGGGCUCAACCUUGGGAGUGCUUUUGAAACUGAGUAGCUAGAGUGCAGGAGAGGUAAGCGGAAUUCCUAGUGUAGCGGUGAAAUGCGUAGAUAUUAGGAGGAACACCAGUGGCGAAGGCGGCUUACUGGUCUGUAACUGACGUUGAGGCUCGAAAGCGUGGGGAGCAAACAGGAUUAGAUACCCGAGUAGUC